GCGUAUAUUUAAGUUAUUGCAGUUAAAAAGCUCGUAGUUGGAUUUCGGUUAAGAGCGACCGGUCCGCCGUUUGGUGUGCACUGGUUGGUUUUAACUUCCUGUAGAGGACGUGCUCUGGGCUUAACGGUCUGGACUCGGAGUCUACGUGGUUACUUUGAAAAAAUUAGAGUGUUCAAAGCGGGCUUACGCUUGAAUAUUUCAGCAUGGAAUAACACUAUAGGACUCCUGUCCUAUUUCGUUGGUCUCGGGACGGGAGUAAUGAUUAAGAGGAACAGUUGGGGGCAUUCGUAUUUCAUUGUCAGAGGUGAAAUUCUUGGUUUUAUGAAAGACGAACUUCUGCGAAAGCAUUUGCCAAGGAUGUUUUCAUUAAUCAAGAACGAAAGUUGGGGGCUCGAAGAUGAUUAGAUACCAUCCUAGUCUCAACCAUAAACGAUGCCGACUAGGGAUUGGCGGAUGUUAAUUGAUGACUCCGCCAGCACCUUAUGAGAAAUCAAAGUUUUUGGGUUCCGGGGGGAGUAUGGUCGCAAGGCUGAAACUUAAAGGAAU
rnacentral:rRNA from 1 species